CUGUAUGUAGUGUUAUGCUAUGAGGGUAGGUUAGUGGUAGACAUGUCUGUAUGUAGUGUUAUGAUAUGAGGGUAGGUUAGUGGUAGACAUGCCUGUUUGUAGUGUUAUGAUAUGAGGGUAGGUUAGUGGUAGACAUGUCUGUAUGUAGUGUUAUGAUAUGAGGGUAGGUUAGUGGUAGACAUGUCUGUAUGUAGUGUUAUGAUAUGAGGGUAGGUUAGUGGUAGACAUGUCUGUAUGUAGUGUUAUGAUAUGAGGGUAGGUUAGUGGUAGACAUGUCUGUAUGUAGUGUUAUGAUACGAGGGUAGGUUAGUGUUAGAC
rnacentral:lncRNA from 1 species